rnacentral:rRNA from 1 species
UACGAGGGGGGCAAAUGUUGUUCGGAAUCACUGGGCGUAAAGGGAGCGUAGGCGGGUUUCUAAGUCAGGUGUUUAAUCCCGGGGCCCAACCCCGGACAGGCACUUGAAACUGGGAAUCUUGAAUAGUGGAGAGGUCAGUGGAAUUGGGGGUGUAGCGGUGGAAUGCGUAGAGAUCCCCAAGAACACCGGUUGCGAAGGCGGCUGACUGGACACAUAUUGACGCUGAGGCUCGAAAGCAUGGGGAGCAAACAGG